GAUGAACGCUGGCGGCGUGCCUAAUACAUGCAAGUCGAGCGAACGGACGAGAAGCUUGCUUCUCUGAUGUUAGCGGCGGACGGGUGAGUAACACGUGGAUAACCGACCUAUAAGACUGGGAUAACUUCGGGAAACCGGAGCUAAUACCGGAUAAUAUUUUGAACCGCAUGGUUCAAAAGUGAAAGACGGUCUUGCUGUCACUUAUAGAUGGAACCGCGCUGCAUUAGCUAGUUGGUAAGGUAACGGCUUACCAAGGCAACGAUGCAUAGCCGACCUGAGAGGGUGAUCGGCCACACUGGAACUGAGACACGGUCCAGACUCCUACGGGAGGCAGCAGUAGGGAAUCUUCCGCAAUGGGCGAAAGCCUGACGGAGCCACGCCGCGUGAGUGAUGAAGGUCUUCGGAUCGUAAAACUCUGUUAUUAGGGAGGAACAUAUGUGUAAGUAACUGUGCACAUCUUGACGGUACCUAAUCAGAAAGCCACGGCUAACUACGUG
rnacentral:rRNA from 1 species